rnacentral:sRNA from 1 species
GCGGAGGAAAAGAAACCAACAGGGAUUGCCCUAGUAACGGCGAGUGAAGCGGCAACAGCUCAAAUUUGAAAUCUGGUCCCCCCGCGGGGGCCCGAGUUGUAAUUUGAAGAGGAUGCUUUUGGCGAGGCGCCUUCCGAGUGCCCUGGAACGGGACGCCACAGAGGGUGAGAGCCCCGUAUGGUUGGACGCCGAGCCUCUGUAAAGCUCCUUCGACGAGUCGAGUAGUUUGGGAAUGCUGCUCAAAAUGGGAGGUAAACCCCUUCUAAAGCUAAAUACUGGCCAGAGACCGAUAGCGCACAAGUAGAGUGAUCGAAAGAUGAAAAGCACUUUGAAAAGAGAGUUAAACAGCACGUGAAAUUGUUGAAAGGGAAGCGCUUGCGACCAGACUCGCGCCCGCCGGAUCAGCCGUCGCUCGUCGGCGGCGCACUCCGGCGGGCUCGGGCCAGCAUCGGUUCGCCCGGGGGGAGAAAGGCGGCGGGAACGUGGCUCUGCGGAGUGUUAUAGCCCGCCGCGUAAUACCCUAGGGCGGACCGAGGACCGCGCGUAUGCAAGGAUGCUGGCGUAAUGGUCGUCAGCGACCCGUCUUGAAACACGGACCAAGGAGUCGUCCUAGUAUGCGAGUGUUCGGGUGUCAAACCCCUGCGCGUAAUGAAAGUGAACGGAGGUGAGAGCUUCGGCGCAUCAUCGACCGAUCCUGAUGUUCUCGGAUGGAUUUGAGUAAGAGCAUACUGGGCCGGACCCGAAAGAAGGUGAACUAUGCCUGUAUAGGGUAAAGCCAGAGGAAACUCUGGUGGAGGCUCGCAGCGGUUCUGACGUGCAAAUCGAUC